AUUCAAAUGGAAUCUUAUAUAUAAUAUAAGAUGUCGGGGUUGGAGUUUGGAGGUGUUUAAGCAUGAAAAUAUCAAUGGUAAGGGCGCAAGUAAAUCGGAACAGAGUCUUAAGUAGCUCGGUGACACGACGGCUGGUACAGUAGAACAGUGGCUGGACUCUAAUCAAGAUGACUCUUGGGACGGGAAAGCUCGGAAACGGAUGUGUGACGUCAGAGCUGUGCUGGGAUCUUGCUCAAUGAAGCCUAUUUAUUUGUCUAAGAGAAGUCAGACAAAGAGACGGACCAAGCCGUGCCAGUAAUUGGGUUCUCUAUUCUUGCUUUGGUCGCAGACACUUAUUGUCUUCUACGUUUAGUUCAGACAAUUAUUCGAAACUAUUUUUCUAAGUGGACAGCUAUCAAGUGAUAUAGCAAGUUAGUAAUAGUAAAACGGAGGCCGACAGGACCUGUUUAUAAAUAUUUCAUUCUUUAUAAAACAAAAUCCCACGAUACCGUUA